UGGGGAAUAUUGCACAAUGGGCGCAAGCCUGAUGCAGCCAUGCCGCGUGUGUGAAGAAGGCCUUCGGGUUGUAAAGCGCUUUCAGCGAGGAGGAAGGUGGUGAACUUAAUACGUUCAUCAAUUGACGUUACUCGCAGAAGAAGCACCGGCUAACUCCGUGCCAGCAGCCGCGGUAAUACGGAGGGUGCAAGCGUUAAUCGGAAUUACUGGGCGUAAAGCGCACGCAGGCGGUUUGUUAAGUCAGAUGUGAAAUCCCCGGGGCUCAACCUGGGAACUGCAUUUGAAAUCUGGCAAGCUAGAGUCUCGUAGAGGGGGGCUAGAAUUCCAGGUGUAGCGGUGAAAUGCGUAGAGAUCUGGAGGAAUACCGGUGGCGAAGGCGGCCCCCCUGGACGAAGACUGACGCUCAGGUGCG
rnacentral:rRNA from 1 species